rnacentral:lncRNA from 1 species
UCGGUGGCGUGGCUCGCCUUAAUAGCAGCUUGGCAACAGACAUAGUAUGUGGCUCGAUUGCGAUGGUGGCUUGGCUUUCGCUUUAGUAGGGGAUGUGGGUUAUCGGGUCAUACGGUACUAGUCGACUUGGGUUUCCAGUAAAAAGCUCGGAUUUUCUAAUUUAAUAAAACACGAAAUGGUGUCGUUUUGAACAAGUAUAAAAGCCCAAAAUUUUCUUUUUUUUUAGAUUUCUCCUCUCUCUCUCUCUCUCUCUCUCUCUCUCUCUCUUUUCUGCUUCUUUCUCUAGAAAGAAAAUCCGAUGGUCAGAUACUUCAAGGCUUUGUCAGGUUUUCGCUGGAGUUUGGAUUUGGUUGUCAAACUUUUAUCAAAAUCCAGGUUUGGUCAUUAACAACUAGAAAUAGUCAUUGAAAAUUUGGGAAUGUGCUAAAAUUUCAU